rnacentral:rRNA from 1 species
UACGGAGGGUGCAAGCGUUAUCCGGAUUCACUGGGUUUAAAGGGUGCGUAGGUGGUCCGUUAAGUCAGUUGUGAAAUCCCCGGGCUCAACCCGGGAACUGCUUCUGAUACUGGCGGACUUGAGGCCAGUAGGGGUCACUAGAACUGACGGUGGAGCGGUGAAAUGCGUAGAUAUCGUCAGGAAUGCCGGUGGUGAAGACGGGUGACUGGGCUGGUUCUGACACUGAGGCACGAAAGCGUGGGGAGCGAACGGG